AGUUCGGGUUAUGGUAAGUUUGGUUAAUUCAGUUUUCGUAAACCAAAUUCAACCGAAAUUAGUUUAGUUUGAUUUGUGUUUUGAUUAGUUUAUGUUCGAUUCGGUUCAGGUAGAGAUUUGGUUCAGUUUUAAUUUGUUUCGGUUCCAUUUGCUUAAAAAUUAUAUAUAUGAAAGUUGGUCAACUCUUUCCAUAUGAGUGACACAUCAUCACACCAGUGAGUGCCACAUGUCAUUCUAAAUUAAUAUCAUUAAAAUAUAACAAAACUUAGUGAUAAAAAUUUUAAAGUUUCACAUUGCAUUAAAUCAUCCAUUAAUCUCACUCUUAACAAAAUAUCUUCAUUUAAAAGAAAAAAAUACAAAAAAUCAUGUUAAUGUAUCAAACACUACUUUCAUUUUACUUUUCUUGUUU
rnacentral:sRNA from 1 species